ACUCCAGCCUAGGUGACUAAAUGAGGUCACCUCAAAAAAAAAAAAAAAAAACCACAGAAGACUAUCUUCUGCUUUGAAAAUCAUUUAAGUACUACUGUAGACACCUAUGUAAUCUUCAGAACUUUGGGCAAGAACAAUGCAGAAUUCUAAAUGAAUGACUGACUUUAUGAAGAAAGAAAUAUUCUCUGUCAAGUGUUACCCUUUGGGUGGGGAGGAGGAACAGACAAACGACAAAAGAAGGCCCAGCUUCAGCUUUUUACCAUGGAAAUUUAUCUGUGACUGAAAAUAAAACAGUAACAAAACUAGAAUCAAUUUUCAAGUCUUUACUUCCAAGACUUGGGUGAACAACUAAAGUCUUCUAAAGUUCCUAUUAUCAUAGAAGAUCAGUGAUAACUACACACCGAACUAAAAUUUGUCAUCAUGAAGCUACCUUACCCUUACUUCUCUAAUCAGCGUCAAGAGGCAUCAAGUGAAAGUUGAUCAAAAACUUUUCAUCACCCUGCCCUGUCUCCAACCCUUCCUGUCUGUAGUUCAUGAACCCAUGUGCCCAGUCAAAAAUAAACAGGAUCUAACAAGUUA